UUCCAUGCAAAUAAACAUAAAAAUGUAUUUGAAAUUCAAGUCCUGGCAGCAUUUGCAUAGUAAUAGCAUAAAUGAUUAGUAAAAUCAAUUACACAGAACACAAUUCAAAUAAUUCCAUAACCUUCUGUGAAUUGUAUGUAACAGUAACCAAAUACUGGACACUCGCAGUGUAAAUGUUACAGAGUGAAACCUGCAUUUUAAAAUAUAUUUUAUUAAUUGUAAUUGUGUUAUAUUUGUAGUUGUAUGUGGACUAUAUUCUUUUGUUAGAGCGUCAUUAUAACCACUAGAGCUCAUUGUAGUGGUUAUGUUGCAGUGAGUCAAACAGCAGAACAUUGGGGUGCAGUGCCAAAGGAAUCAUUGCUCCAUAACCACUAAGGAGCUAUUGUGGAUAUGAUGUCUAAAGUACCCCUUUAACUACUGUUGAGAUAUGAAUCUCAAAUACGGGCCUUGUGGGCGUGGAGCCUUGCUGUCUAGCCGAAUGGAUGCCAUCUUCUGCAGCUCUGGCCCGAGAGCAAAUAACCUACUCAAUCUACUUCCCAUGAGGGUCUCUAAUACUUGACAGUAACCUUGGUGGUAUACCUUGUAUUAUGCACCAACCUGGUUAUUCUAGUCGCCUACCUCUUGCUGCUGAGUACAAGCCAGGACUGUGCUGGGGGGUUUCCUGGUCUCUGUACAUCAGUUACUACCUAUCCUUUAUUAUAUCUGGCAACCUGUGACUAGAUGACGCACCUGCAUACAUUUGGAGGUAGUCGCCAUACUUGUUGAGCCUGGACUUGGUUUUAUUUUCUGCAAUGCUCAGGCCGGCUUGUUGCAUCAGUGAAUGAAGGGUGAGUGGUGGGGAUCUGCACAUGAACUUCUUGCCAGAAUAUAGUACCCAGGUUGCCUUUACAUCCUGGCCCAGUGCAGAGGCCCGAAAUGUAUUGCUCACUGAUCUGUGAGACAUUCUAAAUGGGUGUAGUUGGGGCCCCUUACGGACCAGUGGUCAGAAGGAGCUUACAGUUGUGAAAAGCAUGGAACAGUACUGAGUGACGGUGGCUCUGGCAGACUUCCAAGCAGAACCACGCAAAAAUGGGUGGGGCAGGGUGGCUAGGGGUCUGUGAGUGCCUACAGAAAGGGCAGAUUCCUCCCAUCAGUAGGCAUCCACUGCAGGGUGGGAGGGGAUUGUGAGGUUUAUCCAAUUCAGGCUCAUUUUCCCACUUGUUUUUCUU